UAAUUUACCAUAUUGUCCGCCAGAGUACUACAAGCGCUAGCUUAAAACCCAAAGGACUUGGCGGUGCCUCAGACCCCCCUAGAGGAGCCUGUUCUAUAACCGAUAAUCCCCGUUAAACCUCACCACUCCUUGCCAAUACCGCCUAUAUACCGCCGUCGUCAGCUCACCUUGUGAAAGGAAAAAAGUAAGCAAAAAGAAUUAAAUUCCAAACGUCAGGUCGAGGUGUAGCGAAUGAAGUGGAAAGAAAUGGGCUACAUUUUCUAUCAAGAAAACACGGAUAGUAAACUGAAAAACUACUUAAAGGUGGAUUUAACAGUAAGGGAAAAUUAGAACAUUUCCCUGAAGCCGGCUCUGAAGCGCGCACACACCGCCCGUCACUCUCCUCAACAAAUCCAUGCUUUUAUUUAAAAAAAUAAUUUAAUCAAGAGGAGGCAAGUCGUAACAUGGUAAGUGUACUGGAAAGUGCACUUGGUAUC
rnacentral:rRNA from 1 species